AUUGUCGAUUAUAUUGCCCAUGCUGCCAAAAAAAUGCCAGGACCAACCUCUUUUAACUAUAUCCCCUGUGCUGUACGAACAACUUAAAGCACAAAAUGAAAAACGCAAACAAGCCGCAGAGUCGUUAAAUAUACGUCCUUCGAAGAACGAUACUGCUCCGAAUCCACACUCCGGUCCCAGUCUAGACAAGUUGCGUCAACACAUCGACCUGGUCAAAUGUCCUCCUCUCCCAAAAGAACACGUAUUUCACGAAGCCUCUAUAAAAGAAAACCUCAAAUCCAUCGUAGACGCCGAGAAUGCACAAAAAAAAAGAGAGCAGGAUAUGCUGAAAAAAAUCGAGCAUGAUCAGAAAAAGAUAGCACAUUUUUGCUCAAUAAGAUCAGCCGUCCAAAGUCAAUGCCACCCAACGCCAAAUAUAUGCACUGAUCAACGAGAGAAAGUUUACGAAUGCCUGGAAAAUGCCUCGGUCUCAGAAUGCCAAGAAUUGAUGAAGGCCUUCAGUCGCUGCACUGAAAUGUAUUAUAAAAAUGCCAAAAAAAAAAAUUGUUAAUCUUAGAACAACGGCUUUAGUUCGUAGAGUUCGAGUCAACGGAAAUCUGCAAUAUUGUGGCGUCAAAACCACACUUCAACAUAGGAAUCCCCUGUUAUGUUUUAAGUGUGCGCAAUAGUUAGCUGCGAUUCAAAAAAUAAUCGUUCAGUGUUAGAAGGGAUUGAUGGAAAUGAGAAUUGUGGAUUUCAAGGAUUAAAAAUAGAUCUCGUAUAUUCA